UUACUCGGGUUUCUCUUCAUAACGCACAAGUAUUUCGCCUUUUACUAAAGACUUCCGUGGAGAGGAACACCAAUGAGUUGAAGACAUUUUUGGCAGGCUUUGCCG
rnacentral:snRNA from 1 species